UUUAGACCUCGGAUCAGGUAGGGAUACCCGCUGAACUUAAGCAUAUC
rnacentral:rRNA from 1 species